GAUUGAACGCUGGCGGCAUGCCUUACACAUGCAAUUCGAACGGCAGCACGGGAGCAAUCCUGGUGGCGAGUGGCGAACGGGUGAGUAAUAUAUCGGAACGUGCCCAGUCGUGGGGGAUAACGCAGCGAAAGCUGUGCUAAUACCGCAUACGAUCUCUGGAUGAAAGCGGGGGACUCGUAAGAGCCUCGCGCGAUUGGAGCGGCCGAUAUCAGAUUAGCUAGUUGGUGGGGUAAAGGCCCACCAAGGCGACGAUCUGUAGCUGGUCUGAGAGGACGACCAGCCACACUGGAACUGAGACACGGUCCAGACUCCUACGGGAGGCAGCAGUGGGGAAUUUUGGACAAUGGGCGCAAGCCUGAUCCAGCAAUGCCGCGUGCAGGAUGAAGGCCUUCGGGUUGUAAACUGCUUUUGUACGGAACGAAAAGGUCUGCCUUAAUACGGUGGGCCCAUGACGGUACCGUAAGAAUAAGCACCGGCUAACUACGUGCCAGCAGCCGCGGUAAUACGUAGGGUGCGAGCGUUAAUCGGAAUUACUGGGCGUAAAGCGUGCGCAGGCGGUUAUAUAAGACAGAUGUGAAAUCCCCGGGCUCAACCUGGGACCUGCAUUUGUGACUGUAUAGCUAGAGUACGGUAGAGGGGGAUGGAAUUCCGCGUGUAGCAGUGAAAUGCGUAGAUAUGCGGAGGAACACCGAUGGCGAAGGCAAUCCCCUGGACCUGUACUGAC
rnacentral:rRNA from 1 species